rnacentral:snRNA from 1 species
GUGCUCACCUUGGCAGCAUAUAUACUAACAUCAGAAUGAUACAGAGAAGAUUAGCACGGCCCUGUGCAAGGAUGACAUGCAAAUUCGGGAAGCAUUCCAUAUUUUA